rnacentral:ncRNA from 2 species
UCCCUAUCCAGAGUGGCCGAGGGACGGGCCCGAUGACGCCACGGCAACCGGCCGCCGGUGGACAGCGGCGGUACGGUGCCAAUUCCCGCGGGAGGCGUCUCCCGGGAGAUAGGGA